CUUCAUUAUGCUUCAGACUCUUUAAAGGCUCUUUGCACUCUUGUUGUUUCUCCCAGAACUGGUACAUAUAAGUGCCCUGAAUAUGUUUGCUCUAACUUUCUUUUAUAAUAGGUAAGAAUUGACUAUCAUCAGCCAGCACAUUAAGAAAUUGAAACAGCUUCCUUCUCAAGAUAUUAACACAAGGAAUAUUAAGAUGUAUUGGUGAGU
rnacentral:lncRNA from 1 species